rnacentral:rRNA from 1 species
AUUGAACGCUGGCGGCAUGCUUUACACAUGCAAGUCGAACGGCAGCGCGGGCUUCGGCCUGGCGGCGAGUGGCGAACGGGUGAGUAAUGCAUCGGAACGUGCCCAGUAGUGGGGGAUAGCCCGGCGAAAGCCGGAUUAAUACCGCAUACGACCUGAGGGUGAAAGCGGGGGACCGAAAGGCCUCGCGCCAUUUGAGCGGCCGAUGUCGGAUUAGCUAGUUGGUGGGGUAAAGGCUUACCAAGGCGACGAUCCGUAGCUGGUCUGAGAGGAGGACCAGCCACACUGGGACUGAGACACGGCCCAGACUCCUACGGGAGGCAGCAGUGGGGAAUUUUGGACAAUGGGGGCAACCCUGAUCCAGCCAUGCCGCGUGCGGGAAGAAGGCCUUCGGGUUGUAAACCGCUUUUGUUCGGGAAGAAAUCCUCUGGGCUAAUACCCCGGGGGGAUGACGGUACCGGAAGAAUAAGCACCGGCUAACUACGUG